UGCGGGGGGAGCAAGCGUUGUUCGGAUUUACUGGGCGUAAAGGGCGCGUAGGCGGUCAGCACAAGUCAGUUGUGAAAUCUCCGGGCUUAACUCGGAAAGGUCAACUGAUACUGUGCGACUAGAGUGCAGAAGGGGCAACUGGAAUUCUCGGUGUAGCGGUGAAAUGCGUAGAUAUCGAGAGGAACACCUGCGGCGAAGGCGGGUUGCUGGGCUGACACUGACGCUGAUGCGCGAAAGCCAGGGGAGCGAACGGG
rnacentral:rRNA from 1 species